GACGGAGGGCGCAAGCGUUGUUCGGAAUUACUGGGCGUAAAGCGCGGGCAGGUGGUCUGUUAAGUCGUUUGUGAAAAUCCGGGGCUCAACCCCGUGAAAUGCGUACGAUACUGGCAGGCUGGAGAUCGGUAGAGGCUAGCGGAAUUCCUGGUGUAGCGGUGGAAUGCGUAGAUAUCAGGAAGAACACCCGUGGCGAAGGCGGCUAGCUGGGCCGAGUCUGACACUCAUCCGCGAAAGCGUGGGGAGCAAACAGGAUUAGAUACCCCCGUAGUC
rnacentral:rRNA from 1 species